CAGUAGCCGCGGUAAUACAGAGGGUGCAAGCGUUAAUCGGAAUUACUGGGCGUAAAGCGCGCGUAGGUGGUUUGUUAAGUUGGAUGUGAAAUCCCCGGGCUCAACCUGGGAACUGCAUCUAAAACUGGCAAGCUAGAGUAUGGUAGAGGGUGGUGGAAUUUCCUGUGUAGCGGUGAAAUGCGUAGAUAUAGGAAGGAACACCAGUGGCGAAGGCGACCACCUGGACUGAUACUGACACUGAGGUGCGAAAGCGUGGGGAGCAAACAGGAUUAGAUACCCCAGUAGUCCCUGUCUCUUAUAC
rnacentral:rRNA from 1 species